rnacentral:lncRNA from 1 species
UCAUUUCAGCUUCAUUUGGCUCCUUUCUAAUUCAUUACUUAUUUAUAAAAAUAGCAUGUAUUAUAUGUCAAUAACGGUAAAAAGUGAUUUAGGGUGACUUUUUUAUAAAACCUCUUUUUGGGGCCAGCCUGGUGAAACAGCAGUUAAGUUUGCACAUUCUGCUUCGGCGGCCCAGGGUUCACCAGUCUGGAUCCCAGGUGCAGACCUACACACCGUUUGUCAAGCCAUGCUGUGGCAGGCGUCCCACAUAUAAAGUAGAGGAAGAUGGGCGUGGAUGUUAGCUCAGGGCCAGUCUUCCUCAGCAAAAAGAGGAGGAUUGGCAGCAGAUGUUAACUCAGGGCUAAUCUUUCUCAAAAAAAUAAAAAUAAGUAAAUAAAAAACCUCUUUUUAUUUUUCUGCAUGACUUAAACUCAUUAUAAUGAGCAACUGUUAUACUUACAAAAUCAAUAAAGUAAUUUUUCUUUUAAAAAUGAACAAAGAUAAAAACAAGGAGACAUUUAAUUUGUUUAACAAACGGAUGUCAAGCUCAAUAAAAAAGUGUUGUAAUUUAAUUAUUUCUCAGACAAGAUUUUCUCUGCACUUGGAUAGAUCUCAUCUCCAAAUUCCAGAUAAGCACUCCCUUUCGAAAAUCCUUUGAUUCUGUAAACAGAAUUUAGCAUGCAGAAUAAGUCUUAGCACUUAAAUUACUGACUUGGCUGCAAAAUCAACAGCAUAGAUGGGAUCCAGGAUUGGAGCCAGAGGAAAUGAUGAGAGUUUGAGACAGAAAUUAUUACAUCAUAAUACGAAUGCAAAAAAUUCCUUCUACUUUUACAAAACCAUCUUUUGUUCUGUUUCCUCUGCUUCUACCUGUAGCCAUUUCAGUUAGAUCCCCAUUUCUUUGGGAGGGGCUGGUUUUUACAAAUGCUUUCCUCAUGUACAGAGGUGUAACGUUUCAGGUUCAAAACAAUUCUUACAGAACAUGAACUCCAGAACCACAUAUGCUUUUAAAAAGUUACAUUCAUACAGUCAACUGCAUAACAAUUUUCUUCACAACCUUAUUAGAAUUUUCAGUACUUUACAUGGAUUCCCUAAAGUCAAAAGGUUUGGGUGAGGGCUGGCGGGGUGGCGCAGCGGUUAAGUGCGCACAUUCCGCUUCAGUGGCGUGGGGUUCGGUAGUUCGGGAUCCCGGCUGCGGACAUGGCACCACUUGGCAAGCCACGCUGUGGUAGGCGUCCCACAUAUACAGUAGAGGAAGAUGGGCAUGGAUGUUAGCUCAGGGCCAGUCUUCCUCAGUGAAAAGAGGAUUGGCAGCAGUUAGCUCAGCGCUAAUCUUCCU